AAUAGAUACCCGGGUAGUCCAUGCCGUAAACGUUGGGAACUAGAUGUAGGGACCAUUCCACGGUUUCUGUGUCGCAGCUAACGCAUUAAGUUCCCCGCCUGGGGAGUACGGCCGCAAGGCUAAAACUCAAAGGAAUUGACGGGGGCCCGCACAAGCGGCGGAGCAUGCGGAUUAAUUCGAGGCAACGCGAAGAACCUUACCAAGGCUUGACAUAUACGGGAACGCCCUAGAAAUAGGGAACUCUUUGGACACUCGUAUACAGGUGGUGCAUGGUUGUCGUCAGCUCGUGUCGUGAGAUGUUGGGUUAAGUCCCGCAACGAGCGCAACCCUCGUUCUAUGUUGCCAGCACGUCAUGGUGGGAACUCAUAGGAGACUGCCGGGGUCAACUCGGAGGAAGGUGGGGAUGACGUCAAAUCAUCAUGCCCCUUAUGUCUUGGGCUUCACGCAUGCUACAAUGGCCGGUACAAAGGGCUGCAAUACCGCAAGGUGAGCGAAUCCCAAAAAGCCGGUCUCAGUUCGGAUUGAGGUCUGCAACUCGA
rnacentral:rRNA from 1 species